rnacentral:rRNA from 1 species
AGAGUUUGAUCCUGGCUCAGGACGAACGCUGGCGGCGUGCUUAACACAUGCAAGUCGAGCGAUGAAGCUCCUUCGAGAGCGGCGGACGGGUGAGUAACACGUGGGCAACCUGCCUUAUAGAGAGGAAUAGCCAUCCGAAAGGAUGAUUAAUACCUCAUAAUAUUGUAGCUUCGCAUGGAGCAACAAUCAAAGGAGCAAUCCACUAUAAGAUGGGCCCGCGGCGCAUUAGCUAGUUGGUGAGGUAACGGCUCACCAAGGCGACGAUGCGUAGCCGACCUGAGAGGGUGAUCGGCCACAUUGGGACUGAGACACGGCCCAGACUCCUACGGGAGGCAGCAGUGGGGAAUAUUGCACAAUGGGGGAAACCCUGAUGCAGCAACGCCGCGUGAGUGGUGACGGCCUUCGGGUUGUAAAGCUCUGUCUUCAGGGACGAUAAUGACGGUACCUGAGGAGGAAGCCACGGCUAACUACGUGCCAGCAGCCGCGGUAAUACGUAGGUGGCAAGCGUUGUCCGGAUUUGCUGGGCGUAAAGGGAGCGUAGGCGGACUUUUAAGUGGGAUGUGAAAUACCCGGGCUUAACCUGGGUGCUGCAUUCCAAACUGGGAGUCUAGAGUGCAGGAGGGGAAAGUGGAAUUCCUAGUGUAGCGGUGAAAUGCGUAGAGAUUAGGAAGAACACCGGUGGCGAACGCGACUUUCUGGACUGUAACUGACGCUGAGGCUCGAAAGCGU